AUGCAAAGAAGACGACAGGAAACUUCUGCUCAUACCAACUACUACACUAGCAUUAUUCAAUGUAUCAGUCCCCCUAAAGUGAUCGUCCUGCCGCCGUCCAGUGAAGAGAUUUCCAGAAAGCAAGCAGCAACACUGAUGUGUGUGGCCAACAAGGGCUUCCCCUCAGACUGGAGUCUGAACUGGAAGGUGGACGGGAUCAGCAGCAGGUCUCAGUACAGCAGUGUUGCUCUCCUGGAGAAGGACGGUCUGUACAGCUGGAGCAGCAGUCUGACUCUCUCUGAGCAGGAGUGGAGCUCAGUGAUCUCAGUCAGCUGUGAGCUCACACAGAAAGACCAGCGUGAUAAAGUCACUGGAGAAUUGAGGAGAGAUCAGUGUUCACAGUAGAUCCACUCACUCUCUCCUCUGUCUCACAUCAAGACUAACAGACUAACUGUG